rnacentral:rRNA from 1 species
GGGUUGUGAGGUUAAGCGACUAAGCGUACACGGUGGAUGCCCUGGCAGUCAGAGGCGAUGAAGGACGUGCUAAUCUGCGAUAAGCGUCGGUAAGGUGAUAUGAACCGUUAUAACCGGCGAUUUCCGAAUGGGGAAACCCAGUGUGAUCCGUCACACUAUCAUUAACUGAAUCCAUAGGUUAAUGAGGCGAACCGGGGGAACUGAAACAUCUAAGUACCCCGAGGAAAAGAAAUCAACCGAGAUUCCCCCAGUAGCGGCGAGCGAACGGGGAGCAGCCCAGAGCCUGAAUCAGUGUGUGUGUUAGUGGAAGCGUCUGGAAAGGCGUGCGAUACAGGGUGACAGCCCCGUACACAAAAAUGCACAUGCUGUGAGCUCGAUGAGUAGGGCGGGACACGUGGUAUCCUGUCUGAAUAUGGGGGGACCAUCCUCCAAGGCUAAAUACUCCUGACUGACCGAUAGUGAACCAGUACCGUGAGGGAAAGGCGAAAAGAACCCCGGCGAGGGGAGUGAAAAAGAACCUGAAACCGUGUACGUACAAGCAGUGGGAGCCUCUUUAUGGGGUGACUGCGUACCUUUUGUAUAAUGGGUCAGCGACUUAUAUUCUGUAGCAAGGUUAACCGAAUAGGGGAGCCGAAGGGAAACCGAGUCUUAACUGGGCGUUAAGUUGCAGGGUAUAGACCCGAAACCCGGUGAUCUAGCCAUGGGCAGGUUGAAGGUUGGGUAACACUAACUGGAGGACCGAACCGACUAAUGUUGAAAAAUUAGCGGAUGACUUGUGGCUGGGGGUGAAAGGCCAAUCAAACCGGGAGAUAGCUGGUUCUCCCCGAAAGCUAUUUAGGUAGCGCCUCGUGAAUUCAUCUCCGGGGGUAGAGCACUGUUUCGGCAAGGGGGUCAUCCCGACUUACCAACCCGAUGCAAACUGCGAAUACCGGAGAAUGUUAUCACGGGAGACACACGGCGGGUGCUAACGUCCGUCGUGAAGAGGGAAACAACCCAGACCGCCAGCUAAGGUCCCAAAGUCAUGGUUAAGUGGGAAACGAUGUGGGAAGGCCCAGACAGCCAGGAUGUUGGCUUAGAAGCAGCCAUCAUUUAAAGAAAGCGUAAUAGCUCACUGGUCGAGUCGGCCUGCGCGGAAGAUGUAACGGGGCUAAACCAUGCACCGAAGCUGCGGCAGCGACACUAUGUGUUGUUGGGUAGGGGAGCGUUCUGUAAGCCGUUGAAGGUGGCCUGUGAGGGUUGCUGGAGGUAUCAGAAGUGCGAAUGCUGACAUAAGUAACGAUAAAGCGGGUGAAAAGCCCGCUCGCCGGAAGACCAAGGGUUCCUGUCCAACGUUAAUCGGGGCAGGGUGAGUCGACCCCUAAGGCGAGGCCGAAAGGCGUAGUCGAUGGGAAACAGGUUAAUAUUCCUGUACUUGGUGUUACUGCGAAGGGGGGACGGAGAAGGCUAUGUUGGCCGGGCGACGGUUGUCCCGGUUUAAGCGUGUAGGCUGAUUUUCCAGGCAAAUCCGGAGAAUCAAGGCUGAGGCGUGAUGACGAGGCACUACGGUGCUGAAGCAACAAAUGCCCUGCUUCCAGGAAAAGCCUCUAAGCAUCAGGUAACAUCAAAUCGUACCCCAAACCGACACAGGUGGUCAGGUAGAGAAUACCAAGGCGCUUGAGAGAACUCGGGUGAAGGAACUAGGCAAAAUGGUGCCGUAACUUCGGGAGAAGGCACGCUGAUGGUAGGUGAAGCGACUUGCUCGUGGAGCUGAAAUCAGUCGAAGAUACCAGCUGGCUGCAACUGUUUAUUAAAAACACAGCACUGUGCAAACACGAAAGUGGACGUAUACGGUGUGACGCCUGCCCGGUGCCGGAAGGUUAAUUGAUGGGGUCAGCCGCAAGGCGAAGCUCUUGAUCGAAGCCCCGGUAAACGGCGGCCGUAACUAUAACGGUCCUAAGGUAGCGAAAUUCCUUGUCGGGUAAGUUCCGACCUGCACGAAUGGCGUAAUGAUGGCCAGGCUGUCUCCACCCGAGACUCAGUGAAAUUGAACUCGCUGUGAAGAUGCAGUGUACCCGCGGCAAGACGGAAAGACCCCGUGAACCUUUACUAUAGCUUGACACUGAACAUUGAGCCUUGAUGUGUAGGAUAGGUGGGAGGCUUUGAAGUGUGGACGCCAGUCUGCAUGGAGCCGACCUUGAAAUACCACCCUUUAAUGUUUGAUGUUCUAACGUGGACCCGUGAUCCGGGUUGCGGACAGUGUCUGGUGGGUAGUUUGACUGGGGCGGUCUCCUCCUAAAGAGUAACGGAGGAGCACGAAGGUUGGCUAAUCCUGGUCGGACAUCAGGAGGUUAGUGCAAUGGCAUAAGCCAGCUUGACUGCGAGCGUGACGGCGCGAGCAGGUGCGAAAGCAGGUCAUAGUGAUCCGGUGGUUCUGAAUGGAAGGGCCAUCGCUCAACGGAUAAAAGGUACUCCGGGGAUAACAGGCUGAUACCGCCCAAGAGUUCAUAUCGACGGCGGUGUUUGGCACCUCGAUGUCGGCUCAUCACAUCCUGGGGCUGAAGUAGGUCCCAAGGGUAUGGCUGUUCGCCAUUUAAAGUGGUACGCGAGCUGGGUUUAGAACGUCGUGAGACAGUUCGGUCCCUAUCUGCCGUGGGCGCUGGAGAACUGAGGGGGGCUGCUCCUAGUACGAGAGGACCGGAGUGGACGCAUCACUGGUGUUCGGGUUGUCAUGCCAAUGGCACUGCCCGGUAGCUAAAUGCGGAAGAGAUAAGUGCUGAAAGCAUCUAAGCACGAAACUUGCCCCGAGAUGAGUUCUCCCUGAGACUUUAAGUCUCCUGAAGGAACGUUGAAGACGACGACGUUGAUAGGCCGGGUGUGUAAGCGCAGCGAUGCGUUGAGCUAACCGGUACUAAUGAACCGUGAGGCUUAACCUUACAACGCCGAAG